rnacentral:rRNA from 1 species
GGAGGGUGCAAGCGUUAAUCAGAAUUACUGGGCGUAAAGCGCACGCAGGCGGUCUGUCAAGUCGGAUGUGAAAUCCCCGGGCUUAACCUGGGAACUGCAUUCGAAACUGGCAGGCUAGAGUCUUGUAGAGGGGGGUAGAAUUCCAGGUGUAGCGGUGAAAUGCGUAGAGAUCUGGAGGAAUACCGGUGGCGAAGGCGGCCCCCUGGACAAAGACUGACGCUCAGGUGCGAAAGCGUGGGGAGCAAACAGGAUUAGAUACCCUGGUAGUCCACGCCGUAAACGAUGUCGACUUGGAGGUUGUUCCCUUGAGGAGUGGCUUCCGGAGCUAACGCGUUAAGUCGACCGCCUGGGGAGUACGGCCGCAAGGUUAAAACUCAAAUGAAUUGACGGGGGCCCGCACAAGCGGUGGAGCAUGUGGUUUAAUUCGAUGCAACGCGAAGAACCUUACCUACUCUUGACAUCCAGAGAACUUAGCAGAGAUGCUUUGGUGCCUUCGGGAACUCUGAGACAGGUGC